CGAGUUAGUCGGGUGGUCGCAUCGAAAGAUGAGGAAAGUCCGAGCAUCGCAGGGCAAUGGUGGUGGGUAACGCCCACUGAAGGCGACUUUAAGGAUAGUGCAACAGAAACAAACCGCAAAGCCCUAAAGGCUUUGUAAGGGUGGAAAGGUGCGGUAAGAGCGCACCAGCAAUUCGGCGACGAAAUUGGCUGUGUAAACCCCACUUGAUGCAAGAUACGGAAUCAUUAACGACGGCCCGUCGGAUUCUAAGAUAUCGCUUGAGCGUAUCGGCAACGAUGCGCCUAGACAGAUGACCAUCCAAGACAGAACUCGGCUUACAGACUAACUCAAAAA
rnacentral:RNase_P_RNA from 1 species